UGUGGCCGUCAAUGGCAUUCAAUCAACCGCUGCACAGCUUUAACAUCAUCGACGAAUCCAGACAUAUAAAUAAGGAUCGUCUAUCAGAUUUAUCAGCUUCUCCCUUGGCAUCACUAGAAUCCUUAGAAACCCUGCCUUCUCUCCGUAUAGUUUACCAAAGCUCUCUCUCCUCCGCCUCCAUGUUCCUUUCGUCCCUCGGUUUCUUGCCUUUCGCGAUGCUCUGUUUUCAUUUGCUUUACUAAGUGUCUUAGAUUGAAAGAUUGUAUUUUUAUCAUGUUACAGAGUCCGGUUCUGUUGCAGAUUCUUCAGAAGAUGAGGGGUGAUCAUCAUCCUUUCUAUGUGUUGUGGGUUUUGGGUUGCUUUUACUGUUUGUUUGUUUGUGAACGUGACUCUCUUUGCUCUUUGUAAGGUACUGAUGGUGGAGGGAAUAUGAUAAUUCUUCCACGAGGUAUGCUUAACACACAAGCUUUCUUUUGAUGUAUCUCAAAUCUUAAAACUCUUUUGGAUUUGGUCAACGUCAUGCGGGUGCCAUGUUGAGCUAGCAGUGCCAGAUGAGACUUCUUAUAAAUGUUAAGAGACAUUUUACAGACCAUAUAACAAUAUGGGGACAUCAAUGUAACAUCAAACACUAAUGAAGUUCUCGGUGCUCACGUUUGUGCGGAUCAUUUACCAGAUAUAAUCCAGGUUUCACUAUCAAAAUGGUCUUAUCUUUCAAUAUGGUAGAGAUAUGGAGUUGCAGUAAAAGCAUAAGUAGCUGACUCAGUUAGUGUAGGUGACUUUUUUCUAAUCCUAAUAGUACUGAAAUAGAGCGCAAGUUAGACAAGGGAGGAGCUAAACAGAGUCAACUCAGAGAACAAGAAGCUAACAGAGAUGCUGGCAACAGUCUACGAGAACUACUACGCAUGACAUCAUCAUCUGGAGAAGCUAUAGAGUCGAAGUAGCUAUGAAAUAGAUAUGAUCGAACAGAUAAAAGGGAAUAAAACAAGAUCCAUAGGAGUUCUCAGGGCUUCCUAAUGGAAUCAGUGGUAGAAAAAUUGUGAACAACUCCAGCAGCCAAGAUCAUCAUCAGCGGCAGCAACAUGAGCAGAAAAAAAUAGCUUCUUUCAUGCAAAAGACCAGUCACUGACUCACUGAUAGCUUCAACAAAGCAAAGGUUUCAACAGUAUUUUUGCCUGCUGAUAGAGCUUGACAUCCUAGGUGAUCAGCUCAGUGUAAUCAGGAGCAUUAUCAACGAUGGCACGACUCACAGGACAGAGCGUGUCAUAGCAACUCUUAUGUAUAGAAAGGUUCAUCUACUCCUGAAAACAGCUAGCUUUUGACAAGACGGCAAAAUACUACAAACCAGACUGCAGGUUCAUCUAAGCUUCUUCAAGACUAGAAUAUAGAAACACACACCGUUUCUGAAAAGUACUUUAUUCUUAUUCAAAUAUGUGAACGUAGACCAACCAAUUCCUUUCAUCCUGCCAGUACGUAUAAAUAUUUUGCAAAAUGUUGAUAACUACAUUUUUCUCAUUUUAAUAAGAUUUCAAUAAGGGUGCCUACUUGAUU